GGAAGGGAAAAGGCUGUCUGCUACUGUGGCUUCAGGAGACGUUAGCAGGAGAUGCUGGAAAGAUGAGAGAUCAGACCAGCAAAUGAACUUCCAGGGUGAUUAAGAAGAGACUGGGAAGAGGCACGUAGGUCUGUCGGAAACAGCCUCACAUUCAUUUCAGCUGGACGUGCAGUUGUUUCCAACCUUCAGAGGCGGCUCUCGCUUACACAAGACCCUGCGCAACGAUCUCCUUCCCUUACGCUUCGCUGAAGGAAGGGCCCCGAAACUGGAAGGAGCUGAGAUCAGAGGCAUCGCUGAGGCUUACCGCAGCGGUGAUAUAACCGCGCUACAUCGCACGGGUUCGUAGCGGUCACGACGCGGAGGGAAACGCCUCUCCCUCAAGGCUGGGGAGGGGUCCCGGGGAGAAGACCGGCAGGGAAAAACCCUCCUCCUUCCCACAGGCGACCUGUGACAAUGCCAAAAACUGCGUCGCUUUGAAAACCGCUGUGACACUUCAGCGCUGCUGUGGCUGAGGCCGGCGCACCUGGCGCAGGAGGCGGAGGACGGACGCAGGGAGGCGCGGGGCGGGCGGGCAGCCCCC
rnacentral:lncRNA from 1 species